rnacentral:misc_RNA from 1 species
AAGCUUCUGUACUAUAUUG